CGUAAAUACCAGAAGAAGCAAAACGGAGAGACGGAAAUUUCAGGGAGCAUCAAGGGACCAGGAUUGAUUGACUUCAAGUAAUUUAAGGGGAAGAUUAAGGGAGGAUCGGAGUGACUUUUGACCGGACCUUGAAUUAUCCUAGAAGUUGAUAUGAAUCGACUUCUUUUUGAACAAGCCGACGCUCUCCCCCACUUAAUUGGCUCUCAUGCAAAUGAGAAUCCAGUUUAGGAUGAGUUGAAGACUAGCUUUGAUCAAGUUAUAUUCUAGAGUUAAAUUUUGCUAAAUUGUAGCCUAUAUGACUUUUGUACCCUAGUAAUGUAUAUAUGUUGAAAGUUUAGUGUAAAGUAUCAUAUGAAUGAUUUUCUAUGUUUGGAACAUUUUUUUAGCACAUUCAAAGGAAUAUGUAAAUGUUGGUUUAUAGUUAUAAACCCGAUAGACG